CUUGGUCAUUUAGAGGAAGUACAAGUCGUAACAAGGUUUCCGUAGGUGAACCUGCGGAAGGAUCAUUUUUGAAGGCUACACGCCGACAUUGUGAAACGCCAGAAGCGCGCAAGCGUGGAAGGCACUGCUUGGGUGGAGCCUAGCUCUACCCAACUUUUAAACUUUUACCAAUUUAUCUGAAAACUUGAAAAUUUAAAACUUUCAACAACGGAUCUCUUGGUUCUCACAUCGAUGAAGAACGCAGCAAAGCGCGAUAGGUAAUGCGAAUUGCAGACGUGAGUCAUUGAAUCUUUGAACGCACAUUGCGCUUCUAGGAUCUCCUAGUAGCAUGCUUGUUGGAGCGCCGAACUUUCUCUCUAAUCUACUUCUUGUGGAUUACGAGGUGUUGCUCCUUAUUGGAGUCAAAGAAAUGGAACAGCACACGUUAAUAACUCUGUGCAGUAAUAUUUUUUAUGGCCCCCAAUCAAGCAAGAUUACCCGCCGAACUUAAGCAUAUCAAUAAGCGGAGGA
rnacentral:rRNA from 1 species